CCCAUUAAACCACUCCGGCAAGACAAGGACGCUGGGGAAGCGGCGCGGCACCCACGGUGCUCCUCCGGCGAACGGCGGCGAUGGACGGGAGCGACGCCGACCCCGGGACGGGAAGCGGCGGCGGGGGGUUCGAGUGGGAUGCGGAUUCCCAGCUCUACUACCACGCCAGUACUGGGUUUUACCAUGACCCUGUCGCUGGCUGGUACUACAGCAGCACAGAUGGUCAGUACUACAUCUAUGAGAAUGGAGAUUACGUGUUAUGGACUUCAGAUGUGGGCAAGGAACCCAAUGUACAGAGUCCAUGUGAUGAAGCUAGCCAAAGUUUCCUGGAAUCCUCUUCAGGGCCGGAACCGGAUAUUCCACAUCAACCGCCAUCAGAAUGGCUGGAGGAAACACUAAUUAACAUGUAUUUAUCAGGAUACUCUAAUAUAGAGGUCAGCACUGAAAAUUUACUACGAGAAUCACAGAUAAGUGAGGAAGGCAAAAGUGAUGAAGUUGAGAAUAAACUCAGUAACGUGGCUUCAGAUAAUGCGUCAGACUCUCUGAAUGAUGCUACAUUACAGCAAAUAGAAGAUAAAAUGGAAAUCGAGAACUUCACAGCUGUGCAUGAAUCUGUAAGGGAAGAAGAAGAGAAAUGGCUUUCUCAGUAUGGUCAAGUAGAGAGAGUAAAUGAUGAGCUGCCAUUGUUUCCGAGCGUUGAUCUUUGGGACUGGCAUAUGGUCACAGAACCUGAUAGCAAAGGUCAGCCCAUGACUAGGCUUGUGGGACGUUUAACUAGGGGUUCUAGUAAGCUUCAUCCUUCCCUGCCUGCUCGUGGUGGCCUUCUAAGAACCGCUCCUGUGCGUGAAGUUCAUCUUGAUCUUGUACGUGUUUCAUCAGGGAAGCUCUACAGGCUAAGGAACCCAAGCAGAAAAUACCUGGCCUCUUUAUCAGCGUAUGACUCUUCGAAUCCAACAAAAGAUUGGGCUUUUCCUGACCUAUAUGCCAACCCUAAUAACAAUUCAGAUAAGCAGUCUACUGCAUGUUGUCUGUCUGAUGUUGCUCAUGAAUCUUCUACCGGGGAAGGUGUUUCAGCUGCUAGUGGCAAGGAGCACAAGAUAAAUACUUAUAGGGACAGGGCUGCUGAGAGAAGAAAGCUACACCGCGGCUUAGGGAUAGGACCUGGGCAGAAGCAAAGUAACGGCAUGAGUUCUGAUGAAUAUGAAGAGGCAAUCGAGGACAUGGACUCCUUGGGAGCUGGACCAGUUGAUAUGAACUUAUGUUCCAGCGGUUUGAAGUCUGCCAAGAGAAUCAUGGAGAACAUGGGCUGGAAAGAAGGAGAGGCUCUUGGUAAAAGCAGACAGGGUAUUGUAGAACCUAUACAGCCUACUUUCAACAAACAUGGUGCUGGUUUGGGUUGGAGUCAAACCCGCUGAGAUGUUCUAAUCUCUGAACCCCUGUACAUGGUGAUUCCAGCGCACAUUGUUUUUACCUCCAGAGGAUAGGUGUAACAGAUUCAUGAUCAUCGCGGCAGUCCUGACUGUUCCAAGGACAUUGUAUUACUAAUGCAGUAAAGGCACCAGAGGAUACUGUGGAAAUUCGAAUUUCAGCAGCGGUUACCAUAGAUUCACGGAGUUCUUACUCCUUUUGUGACUAAUCUAUUUCGAUUUGUAAAUAUAACAAGAGGAAGCAUUUGAUGUGAUGGUCAAAAUAUCUAUCUGGUGUUAGUUGA